rnacentral:rRNA from 1 species
GACGAACGCUGGCGGCGUGCUUAACACAUGCAAGUCGAACGAAGUGGCGAACGGGUGAGUAACGCGUAAUCAACUUGCCCUUCAGAGGGGGACAACAGUUGGAAACGACUGCUAAUACCGCAUACUGAAGGAGGGGAUUGCGUCGGAUUAGCUGGUUGGAGGGGUAACGGCCCACCAAGGCGAUGAUCGGAUGCCGGGCUGGGAGGAUGAACGGGCAAAAUGGGACUGGGAAACGGCCCAAACUCCUACGGGAGGGAGCAGGGGGGGAUCUUUCGGAAUGGACGAAAGUCUGACGGAGGCACGCCGCGGGGGUGAUGGCGGCCUUCGGGUUGUAAAGCUCUGUUAAUCGGGAAGCGGUACCGGAAUAGAAAGCCACGGCUAACUACGUGCCAGCAGCCGCGGUAAUUC